ACGUGGCAGCCGCUCUCCCUGUCCUCCAGGAGCUCACGUGGGUCAGGCUGUGAGCGCCUCGAGGGCAGAGCCCGCGUCUGCCUGCGCGCCCAGCGC
rnacentral:pre_miRNA from 15 species